rnacentral:rRNA from 1 species
ACGGGAGGCAGCAGUGGGGAAUAUUGGGCAAUGGGCGCAAGCCUGACCUAGCAACGCCGCGUGAAGGAAGAAGGCUUUCGGGUUGUAAACUUCUUUUAUGUAGGACGAAGAAAAUGACGGUACUACAUGAAUAAGCCACGGCUAACUACGUGCCAGCAGCCGCGGUAAUACGUAGGUGGCAAGCGUUAUCCGGAUUUACUGGGUGUAAAGGGCGAGUAGGCGGGGAUGCAAGUCAGAUGUGAAAUCCAUGGGCUCAACUCAUGAACUGCAUUUGAAACUGUAUCUCUUGAGUGCUGGAGAGGUAGACGGAAUUCCUUGUGUAGCGGUGAAAUGCGUAGAUAUAAGGAAGAACACCAGUGGCGAAGGCGGUCUACUGGACAGUAACUGACGCUGAGGCGCGAAAGCGUGGGGAGCAAACAGGAUUAGAUACCCUGGUA